CUUGCCAGUAGCAUCUUUGUCUCACUAGGUCGGUUGUUCGUUCCACACCUUGGUGUCCUUGGCCCUGAUGUAGCUGGUACAAUACUUCCUCUUUUAGUUUAGCAGGUAAUACUAGCUGUCGUCCUCCCAGCCAUCUGGUCUAGACACACGGCGAUACAGAACUCCCUCCUCCUUUGUCACCCUCUCCCAUUGGCGAAGCAUCUCCAAAACUGAUUUGGGGAUGGUGUGCCUCUCCUGCUGGUCUGGGCCUCGUUUCCGUUACCUCCAUAGUCGGUUGUGUGCCGAGUUGUGCUAUCAUCUGGGGGAUGGCACUGCCCGGCAUCAAGGCACCACAUCCUUCAGCAUCAGUUUGAUACUGCCGGGAUAAUCCAUCUGCAUUACCAUUGGCUCGGCCGGGUCUGUACUUAAUGGUGAAAUCAAAGUCAGAAAGUUGAGCCGCCCACCGCUGCUCGAGGGCACCCAAUUUAGCCGUGGAUCGAUAAAUUAAAGGGUUAUUGUCCGUAUACACCACACACUUCUGACCCAGGAGAUAUUCCCUGAAUUUCUCGGUCAUAGCCCACUUGGGCGCCAAGAACUCCAAAUUCAUGGAACUGUAAUUUGUCAUAUUUCGUUCCGUUGGCUUUAAUCCGCUGCUGGCGUAGGCCACUGGUCUCACCUUGCCACUCUGUUCCUGCGAGAGCACUGCUCCAAGACCACUGUAGCUGUAAAAAAAAACACUGUAAAAACUCCUCGCGCAUUCGUCUGUCCAGACCUCACUGCAUGGGCGACCGGAUGGCUUUUUCUUUUUGGACCCCGCCAUUUUAGCGACUAGGCGGUGCAGAGGAGCGGCAAGAGUAGCAAAGCCAUUGAUAAACCUUCGAUAAUAACUAGCGAACCCCAAAAAGGAACGUAAUUCCGAUGCGUGUUUGGGUGGGGCCCAAUUAGCCACUGCACUGAUUUUAUCUGGGUCUGUGGACACUCAUCCUUUGAAAUAACGUGGCCCAGAUACUUCACCUUAGGCUGAAAGAAGCUGCACUUCUCCAAUUUGACUUAUAGGCCUUCUUGGUGAAGCCGACUCAGCACUGCCUCCAGGCGUGUCACAUGCUCCCCUAUGGUAGAGGAAAACACCACCACAUCAUCCAAAUACAAAACUAAUGACUCAAAAUUCUGGGCCCCAAACAUUCGCUCCAUCAAGCGUUGAAAAGUGCCUGGUGCAUUGCACAGACCAAAGGGCAUACGGUUAAAUUCGAACAACCCGAAGGGCGUACUAAAAGCUGUCUUGUUCUUGUCGGCCUCUAUCACGGCAACUUGAUUGUACCCACUGGCCAGAUCCAUGGUACUGAACCAGCGGGCACCCGACAAGGCAUCCAGCGACUCUUUGAUACGGGGCAGAGGGAAAGCAUCUUUUCUUGUUUUUCCAUUGAGUUGCCGAUAGUCCACACAAAGACGUAUGCUGCCAUCUUUCUUUUUCACCAGGACAACCGGAGAGGCAUAGGGGCUGCUACUUUCCCUAAUGACCUGAUUUUCCAGCAACUGAUAGAUAUGAGCUUUAACUGCCUCGUAAUCCGAUGGAAGGAUACGUCGAUAGUGCUGCCUUAUGGGCGCAUUGUCCACUAAAUAUUAUGAACAAUAAGGUUUGUACAGCCUAUGUCACCCUCACAUGCGGAGAAAACUGACUCGUACUUAUGCAAAAGGGACCUCACCUUGCCCUGUUCGUGGGAGGGUAUACUGGACAAGACAAUGUCCCUGAUAGCAUUCUGUACAGAUCUCCCUCCAGCAACUUGGAUGACAUGCCACAACGUUGCCACAACACCUUGGUCCGAGCUCCCCUCAAUUUUGAUAACGCCGG
ensembl:lncRNA